GCCGGUUGCGGUGGCAUGUGCCUGUAGUCCCAGCUAUUCAGGAGGCUGAGGCUGGAGGAUCUCUUGAGCCCAGGAGUUCUGGGCUGUAGGGCGCUAUGCUGAUCGGGCAUCCGCACUAAAUUCAGCAUCAAUAUGGUGACCUCCCGGGAGUGGGGGACCACCAUGUUGCCCAAGGAGGAGUGAACUGGCCCAGGUCGGAAACAGAGCAGGUCAAAACUCCCGUGCUGAUGAGUAGUGGGAUCGCGCCUGUGAAUAGCCACUGCACUCCAGCCUGGGCAACGUAGCGAGACCCUGUCUCU
rnacentral:SRP_RNA from 1 species